CCUGGUCUCUGUGCUCACGGGAUCCACUGCUCCUCUCACUGCAGUCUUGGAGCUUAGUAAAGGAAAAAAAGAGAGAGAGAGAAGGAUGUGCCCAGAUCACUGAGCUGUAACAUUUAAGUGGUGAACAAACUGCUAGAGUUCUGGCUGUCCUUUUGAAUCCAUGAUUUAAAGAAAAUGCUGGUUAUGAUUUUGUGGCAAGCCAUCACCAGUGACUGCCGAUAGAGCACCCCAGGCCUCAAAUUCUCUUUCACAGAAAUGCUGAAGAAAUACCUAAUAAAUACUGAUUUGAAGAUGUACUGGCUCUGGAGAAGAACUGUACUUUUAUACUCACUAAAUGUAAGCUAGAACCCCAAUCAUCACUAAUUACUAUUAGUAAAUAUAAUUUUGGACUUUGGGGAUGAAAUAUUUGGGAAUUCUUUAGUGAAAACUUAAGAACGGAGACUGUCAUUAACCCUUGACAAGAAUAAUUCAAAUACUCAUGGAGUUAAAUGUACUCUCUCUGAAAAGUGAAAAUUUAAUUGAAGUUCUCCUUAUUGAAGUUAAAUGCUUACCUUUUCUCCCACAUUAACUAAUUUAAAGAUUAGCUAAUAUGUAGUUAAAAUAGCUUACAAAAAUGGAAAUUUACAUAAUUAUAUUUUUUUCUUAAAAGCAUAUGAAAAAAUUUGUCAGCUUCUGAGAACAUUUUGAUCCUAACAGAAAAAUAAAACUUUGUUAUAUAAAAGUUUGAAUGACCUGUAAGAAGAAGGUACACUCAGUCUAGGUAUGGAAUAAUCUAGAUUUGAGAGAUCCCUAAAGACCUUGUGAAUUAGUCAGGCAAACUUUAAGUAAGGUUAUAAAAAUAUUUUUUAAAGUUUAAAAUAUGAAAAGAAACUAUGGUCUUUAAGAACUUAAAAGGUAAUUUCCCUAGAGAAAACAUACAAGAGAAACUCUAUAUAUUCGUAUUUUAACCCUAGAAAGAUGAAAAUGAACCCGAAUCACUUUGUCUGAGGCUGCAAAUCCACAUCUCCUUUCUUUCUUUCUUUCUUUCUUUCUUUCUUUCUUUCUUUCUUUCUUUCUUUCUUUCUUUCUUUCUUUCUUUUUCUUUCCUUCCUUCUUUCCUUCUUUCCUUCCUUCUUUCCUUCUUUCCUUCUUUCUUUCUUUCUUUCCUUUCUUUUCUUUCUUUCUUUCUUUCUUUCUUUCUUUCUUUCUCUCUCUCUCUCUCUCUCUCUCUCUCUCUCUUUCUUUCUUUCUUUCUUUCUUUCUUUCUUUCUUUCUUUCUUUCUUUCUUUCUUUUUUCCAUUUCAUUUCUAAUGAGCUCUCCAAACAGAUAGCCAUGGAACUGGGAUUUAUUCUGAUACAAAAAGUGAUUUUUAAAAGAAAUUAAAAUUGAUUUUUUCUAUUUCCCUCUUGCUAAUAAAAUGAUAGAAUCCAUAAAGGUAUUAUUACCAUAAACAUUUUAAAAUUAUUGAGCUGCUCUGUUGACAUGUGCCUUUUUUUGUUUUGUUUUUCAGUCUGAUUUGUGUCAAAUGGUAUGCUGUCAAAGUGGGGUAGAAGAUUCAAUUACAGGUUGUUGUGUGACUUGUGACUUGAUAGUUUGACUUCAUAUAGAAAAAUUAUUUUUGCAAAGUUUCCUCUUUAAAUCUAUUUUUAAAAUAUUUUAUUUAUUUACUUGAGAGAGACAGCAAACACAGAGAGAGGAAGAAGCAGAUCCCUGCUCAGCAGGGAGCCUGAUGCGGGUCUCCAUCCUGGGACUCUGGAAUCAUGACCUGAGCUAAAGGCAGAUGCUUAACUUACUGAGCCAUCCAGGUGCCCCUAAAUCUAUUUUUUGUAAUCUGUCAUAUUACUUAGUCAAAAUAAUUCUUAUUUUGUAACUGGAGUUAUUCCUUCAGAAGUAAUGGUGUGGCAAUUUGACUAUCUAUUCCCUGAAGUUCUACUGACUUUAAUGUGAUAUAUAACAUAUAUAUACAAAUGUAUAUAUUGGACUGCACUUUCAUUAGAAGAGAAAUUGGCAAAAUGAACAAAACAUUUCAGAACAGUUUCACUUGGUCUAGGUAACAAUGGUUUCUUCUGUAAAGUUUUACAACCAAUUUUGCAACAAAAUUUUUCUAUUUCUUCUGCAGAGUUAAAAUAAUCUUGCUAUGAUUGUGAAGGUGUUAUUUUAUGAUGAAGCAAGCAGUUUAUGUUCUGCUAGAUAUUCAACCUCUUUAAUCUCAUAUUUUCCUUCACAACAAUUUCCAUGCCGUAUUAAAGUCUUAGCUCGUAAGUAACACCAAUAAUAGUAGCAACUGAGCCAUUUAUAUGUGUCUGCCCAAAAACUUUGCUAAAUACUGUACUCUCAUUAGUUUAUUGAUUCUCGUAUUUAUCUUACUUUACAGAUGAGAAAACUGAGACUCUGAAAAUUUGUAUAACUUUCUCAAGCUCCUGUGGAAGCAAGUAGAAGAGUCUGGACUGGGUCUUUCUGAUCUAAUUACCCAGUUUCUAGAUAGUAUUCUGCUAUACAGUAUCCUCUUUUGGCUUAUUCAACAUCCCUACUGAACUAUGGGGAAUAGCAAAAUAAGGGGCUUUCUAACAGAAUAGUCUCUUCUAUAUAGACGUUCUGUUGGAGUUUAAGAAAACUUUAUGCAAUUUCCUACUACCUUGACAUGUGAAACAAAUUAGGAAGCUAUGUUUGGUGAUACUAUUUAUAUGUUGUAACCUUAAAUGACUGAAAUUAUGAGGAAGAGAUAAUUUAUAGUGAGUAAUUGUGUAUCAAAAAAGAAAAUGAAUUAGAGAAUAUUUGAACCAAUGUAAUUUACCAUUCCAUAAAUUAAUAAAAAAGUGAAAAUUAUCAAACAUAGAAACUGAUUCCUCCAGUUUAAUGAUGCUAGGAACAUUAAGCCAAUGCAUUAAUAAGUAUAUAUUAAGCACCCACAGGGACAUAAUUUAGUAUUAGGAUUAUGAAAAUAUGAUCCUGUAUUUAGGAUGUUUUAAGAUCUAAUUAAGGAAACACAAAAUUAACAAGAUUUCAGGUAUAUAAACAUGAUUACAAGAGUGAAUUAGAGACAAGGUGUGGAUAAGAGAUGCUUAUGGGUGUGUAACAGUAAGUAGGAGAAAUGAAGGGAUGUGGUUUGGGGAAAGUAAAUGGAGUGAUGUUUCGGGCAACCUCAUUCCGGUACUCAAAUAUCAUUUCCCACAUGGCAACAUCCUGAACAAUUAAUUGCUGCUUGGUCUUGCUCAUCCCAUUGACUGUUCCCUCCUCUGCACUUUCAUAAAAAUGAGAAUAUGUUUCUAUUAAUUCAUAGUUAAAAAAAAUACUUAGUUUGAAAGUGCAUUCUCCACUACUACGAGCUUCUUUAUGUCAGAGGCCAAGUCUUACUCAUCUUAGCGACCCUGGUGUUUACCAGGAUGUCUGGCACAUAGUGAGUGCUCAAUAAUGAAUAAAUAAUGAAUGAAUCAAUGUGUCCAUAAGAAAUGAGAAAGAAAUAGGAUUAAGAUAAUGCUAUAUCUUUUAUGCUAUGUGUUUUUAGGCCUGUUCCCUCUAAAACCCCUAUUGAUCAUAGCAAGGUUACAUUUUAAACUCUAAAUGGCCUGUGCAAGAUUACUGAAAAUAUAAAUGACCACAGAAAUACUAGUGGCACUUUUCUUAUAUUAUUCUUAGAUUUCUCCAUAGAAAAGGGAAAAAUGAUUUAAAUACAACAUUAGUAUCUUUGUUCCUUUCCCAUAUUCUACACAGCAUGGAUAGUUAAAUAGAUUUGCUGGUUUGAACAAGUCUGCUUUCAUUCAAUAAGCAUUUAUGAGUACCUAUUAUGUGCCUAACAUUGCAUGUGAUGUGAAUACUGAAUUGAAAAGCAAAGCCUCUGAUUUCAAGAAAUUUCUAGUCUAUUGGGGAAUAGGAAAUUACAAUAAAAUAUAUUAUAAAUUUUAUGUCAGAAAUGUGCACGAGUACUAUAAAAUAACAUGGAAUGUCCCCUAACACAUCUUGCAGGAGUCAGUGAAGUGACUUGGAAAAGGUAAAUAUGGAGCUGAAGCUCUACUUUGGCAGAUAAAAAAGGUGGAAGGACAGACCAACCAGAGGAAACUGCAUAAGCAAAAUAUGUGAACAAAGAACAACAUGAUCUCCUCAGGGGCCAGUAAGAAGUUUGGUGUGAUGUGACACUGAAUUUUGGGGGAGGCAGGGAGCUAUGUUGAAGAGUGAGGAAUGGGGGAGUGUGGAGGAACGUGAAUUCUGAGACAUGCGUAGUCAGACUUUAUCAUAAAUGGCCUUGCAUGCUGGCUUUUAUCUUUAACAUGUUGUAGUGCACUGAAAGAAUAUGACCUCAUUCAAUUGAUGGUCUAGAAAAACUGCCACAACAGAAGAGUGAAGCAUUGAUUAGAAAUAAUGAAGCUGGAAGCAGGAGUGAAGGUCUUCAUAUAUUGCAAUAUUUCUCAAAAAUCAAAAGGGCCUGGGCAAAGUGGUGGCAAUGAGAACACAGAGGGACAUUUGAAGAAUAUUGAGAAAGUUGGAAAAGUGGAUUUGAUUUGGGAGGAAAGUGAAAGGAUCAUGAAAGGGAAGCACAAGCCAAAAUCAAUGUCAGGUUUCUGUGUCUGAGCAUGUCAAACUCACUGAAACAGAAAAUGUAGGAAGAUCGGUUGUGGAGUGACAAGGGAUAAUAAUGAAUUCAGUAGUACAGAAGUUGAAUUGAUGAUGUUGGGGGUCAUCCAAAGUCUAUGACUUCGAGAAAGAAAAUGGAUAUAUGUUUUGGAAUUCAGGAAAGAGGUGUAGGCUAUGGAAGCCACAAGUGGGAAGUGGCUUGGAUGAGAUCACAUGGUGAGAGAGAAGGGACUGAGAAGAGGGUCAAUAAUGGGACAAUCUGGAACACUGACUCUUAAAGGUCAGUUGGAAGAGAAGCCUGAAAAUGAAGCCAUGAAAGAAUGAGCUGAGACGUAGGGGAAAAAAAUCAAGAUAUUAGGGUGUUACAUAUUCUGAAGGAGAAAAGAAUAUGAAAAAUGUUAAGACUGACCAAGUGUCAAAUACAGUAGACAGAGCAGAAAAGGGAUGAAUGAGGUACAUUGCAUUUGGCCACUAGGAAGUUUCUGGUGAAACUGGAAAACAAACCUACAGAGUUCCAAUAGUGGCUUGAGGAGUAAAAUCAGGUGAGGAAAUGAUGCAAAGAAUAUUAUCUACUCUUGCAAGACAGGAAGAAAAGGAGAUGUGUAAUUCAUGAGCAAGGUAAAAGGGGAGGGUUUAAGGAAGGAAGAGACUUUAAGAGAGCACAUCCUUGAGAGAAGGAGCCAGCAGAGCACAAGUUCUGGUAUUUCUCCCUCAGUGUGAAUUUAUGAGGUAAAGGAACAUUGGUGGAUCUGAGUGACAAGAAGCAUGAGAGGAUGGAAUCCAGAGUGUAAGGUGAAGAAUUAGCUUUAAACUGAAGGAAGGAAAGAUGUCUCACCUUCUUUGACUAGAGGAGGGGAAAACUGAGGCAGAGAUAUUUGUGGGAUAUUCUGGCAUAUGGGAACUUGGAGAAAUUGCAUAUUGCAUAUUAAAGGCAAUAUUCCCCUUUUAAGAUACUAUGGUAGCAUGUGGUGUAAUAGAAGGGACGUACAGCUUAACUUUGGGGAGAUCAGAAAAAUCUUCUCCAAAGAGAUGACAUCUGAAUGAAAUCCUAAACGAGGGCAGAUGAUUAGGCCAAUUUGUUUUAGUUUCUGACAGGCAGAGGAAGUAGCAUGUCCAUGACUUGAAGGCAAAGAAAGAAAGAGAAAUCGAUGGCUCAUUUGGUAACUACAGAUUGCUUAGAUAGAAUUCCUUACAUUCUAGAAAACUUGGAUGUUUUUCCAAUAGCAGUGGAGAAUCACUGAACAGUUUUAAAUCUGUUUAAAUUUUAGAAAUAAUCAGAUUAAUAGGAGGCAUGGUUGAAGGCAGGGGACCAGUUAGAAAAUUCUUAUACUACACAUGAAAAAAGAUUAAAAUCUAUGCCAAAGAAGGGCAGUGGGUAUAAUACAAAAUGGACAAAAUCAAGACAUUUCUAGAAGACAUCAACAGGCUAUGGUGAUAAAUUAAAUAUAGUGAGAGAAGGAGGGAGACAUCAAAGAUAAUUCCAGGGUUUCUAGCUGUGGUAACUGGGGUGGAUGCUGGUAUCCUUCUUUAAGAGGGAGCCACAGAAGUAACAGCAUUUUUGGGGGUGAGUGGAAAACUGACCUCAGUGUUGGCAACUGAGCUAUCAAUAUAAUGACAAAUAUUCAGUAAAUAUUGAAUAUAUUGCUUUAUAAUUAAGGGGAAAUUUGAGUUGAAGACACAGAAAUAAGAAAGUCAAUAUCAUGUCAAUGCCAACUAUAAACAUAGCACUGGAAUGCAGGGGACAGAAUCCUUGAUGGCAAGAUGCAAAACUCUAGCUCACACACACACACACACACGCCCCCCCCCCCACACACACACCCCACACAUUUUUAAAGCACCUAUGGAGGAAGAAUCAUCAAAAAUCAGAUUGAAAAGGAAUGACCCAGGAUAUUAAGAAGAAAACUCCAAAAGUGUAGAUUUACAGAAGCAAAAUAAAGAAUUUUAAGAAGGAGUCGAGCAAUGAAAUGAAAUAUAAUUGGAUCAUGAGGUAUAAUUGAAUGGAAGAAUUCUCUGAGGAGGUGGGGAAAGGAUGGGAUCCAGAACACAGCAGCAGGAAUUAGACUGUUUCUUCCAUUCCCAGCAGAGAGAAGGAGAGAAAGACUGUUGUGGAUGGGAGUAACUUCAUGGUAAGGGGAGGAAAGGGGAGGUGAUGAUAGGGGUAGGGUGCCUGAGAAGAGGAGAGAGGUUUCGAAACAGCCACUUGGUAAAGGGAGCUGAGUAGGGAAAUGAAGGAUUGAUACGCAGUGAGGAAAGCCUGACUGAAGCUUCCCUGUUGGCUCCAAGGAUGCCAGAUCUUUGUGAUUGCACCAUUUUCCAGUUGUGCAGAAAGACCAGGUGGAAUGCACAGAAGGCAGAUCAGGUUGCUCUUGGGUUGGAAUGUUUCUCUGGGCCAGGUUUUAUGAAGUGAGCAGAAAACCAGGGAAAUAAGGACCCUGAGAAGGGUGUAGUUGAAGUGAUGGAUCACCUGAUUUGGGAAGGAAGUGAAGAUAAAAGAGAAAUAAUAGAAUGAAAAUAGAAGGGUCAAGAAAUUUAAAGUCUAAUUAAAGUGAAAGAAUAGCUGCCAUGGAAGUAAUGGGGGCAAAAGGGCUGGAGGGACUGGGACACUCAUGUCUGCAAGUUCCUUCUGAGUUACAACAAGGCUUAGGAUGCGCCCGCUAAUUUGGGUUUCUGGGAUGGAGUCAAGUACCCUUAGAAUUAAGAGAGGAAAGUAGCUAUUAAUCUAUAGCAACAUGGUUUUCAUUACUUUAAAAACGUCUUUUAUCUUAAUGAGAGAAAAAUACAAUAUUAUUAUAUAUAUAUAUUUUAAAAUGUCCUUCUAUACAAACAAUGCCCUGUUUAAAACUUCUGUUAAUGUUAGAAGUAAACACUCCCUAGAAAGUCACCUAAAACUUGUUUAAAAAUUACUGUAGUUCUGGGCGCCUGGGUGGCUCAGUUGGUUAAGCGACUGCCUUCGGCUCAGGUCAUGAUCCUGGAGUCCCGGGAUCGAGUCCCGCAUCGGGCUCCCUGCUCGGCGGGGAGUCUGCUUCUCCCUCUGACCCUCCUCCCUCUCAUGCUCUCUGUCUCUCAUUCUCUCUCUCUCAAAUAAAUAAAUAAAUAAAAAUCUUAAAAGAAAAAUUACUGUAGUUUAGUUUCAUGAAAUUAACCAGAUCCCUUUUUUCCUUUUGUUUUCUAAUACAAAAAGUAACAUUAACUGAUAGUCUAUAUGCCCUGGUGCCAUAUUCUUUCCCUGGUUGAGCUUCUGUGAAGAGCCAGAGGUUUUGUAGUCUUUAAGAUACUAUUUUGCGUCAGCUCUUAUAUGAAAGUUUUUUUUUUAAUACUUAAAUUUAUUUUAUUUUAUUUUUUUUAUUUUAAAAAUAUUUUAUUUAUUUAUUUGAGAGAGAGCACACGAGCCAGGUGCGGGGGUGGUGGUGGUUGUCAGAGGGAGAAGGAGAAACAGACUCCCUGCUGAGCAGGGAGCCAGAAGGGGGGCUUGAUCCCAGGACCCCUGAGAUCAUGACCUGAGCCGAGGGCAAACACUUAACCUACUGAGCCACCCAGGUGCAUCAGACUUGAAAGUUCUUUUGAUAAAAAGUUGCUGGCCCUGGGAUAUCCUUGCUACAUACAUUUUGGCCAGUAACAUAAGUCCAUCCUGGAGGGCAGGAGGCAUCUGUAUAAGUCUAUCUUCAUUUAUAUCUAUGUUCUUAUAUUUGUUCAAUCAAAGCACCUUAUUGAUUUUAUUACCACAUAAACAAUUUGAACAAAUUGAAAUUAAACACUUAUUGAACAUUGCUGAUUAUAAGAUAGUCUUACAGACAACAAUUAAUCUUUAGGCACAACUGAAAAAGAGCUAUAUACAAACAAUAAAGUUGUGUUCUGUCUCUGUGGUAAAAAAUAUAAUGAGUCAAUUACUGUAAACUUAGCUUUUAAACUAGGAAUUUCAUGAAAAAAACUCAGCAUGAGAAAAGGAACAAGUUUUAUUUGUAAAAUACAUGGAGCUAAUAUUUCUAAGUUAUUUAAGAUGAAAACCUGCAUGAUCAAAGUAUACUGAGUUUUAACAUGCUUUGCAUUUCAUUAGUAAUUAUCCUAAGUGCACUGGUGCACAGUAAUAUGCCUAUGAGAAAGCAGUCACAAUUGAGCGGGCAUAAUAAUUUAAGAAAAAGGAGCUAGUUUAGGUGCAUUUGCAACAUGGCUCUAAUUCCUCAAUCCCAACAUCUUGAUUUUAUUCUCUUUCACAUUAACACCUGGGAGUAUUUCUUUCCCAUUCCCCCAUCCCAAGAAAGGCACAUGAUCCAAUGAUCACAGCAUAUCUGAAGACCAAGGCCAAUAUCAAACACUGGGUACUGAAAACUGAGCUUGAGAUGUUGGAUAUAUUUUCACAUUAGAAUGGAAAUGUGCAUAAAUCCAUUCUAGCCUUUGACAUCACAUUACAUUUGUUUUGUGAGAGACACACACAAAAGUGCUCUCUUACUAGCAUUACUUUGGGUGGCCCAUCUGGGACCUGAGAGAGAUAGGUUGUUCUGGCCUGCAAAACUGUAGAUGAUUUUAUUGUUGGCAUAAUGCCUUGUUGGUAACCAUGGGAAAGGGCAUGUAUCUCUCCCUUUUAGCUCAUAGAGGAUAUCAUCUCAUCAAGCAAAAGGGGAAAAAAGAACCUUAUGCUUUGUAACAUUUUAUAAUCAUCUCUCAGAAUUAGUCCUUUUCUAUCAUGUUAAAGCUCAUUCCUAAAACUGAUAAAGAUUGCACAUAAAAGGAAAACAGACCUAUUUCACUUGUGGUUGAUACAAAAAUCUCAAAUAGAUUGUUAGCAAACAGAAUUCAA